GCAGACGUAGUGUAUUGGUAACAUACAAGAUUGUGGCUCUUGUGAAGCGAGUUCAAUUCUCGCCGUUUGCC
rnacentral:tRNA from 8 species